rnacentral:rRNA from 1 species
UGGGGAAUAUUGGACAAUGGGCGAAAGCCUGAUCCAGCCAUGCCGCGUGUGUGAAGAAGGUCUUCGGAUUGUAAAGCACUUUAAGUUGGGAGGAAGGGCAGUAAGCGAAUACCUUGCUGUUUUGACGUUACCGACAGAAUAAGCACCGGCUAACUCUGUGCCAGCAGCCGCGGUAAUACAGAGGGUGCAAGCGUUAAUCGGAAUUACUGGGCGUAAAGCGCGCGUAGGUGGUUCGUUAAGUUGAAUGUGAAAGCCCCGGGCUCAACCUGGGAACUGCAUCCAAAACUGGCGAGCUAGAGUAGGGCAGAGGGUGGUGGAAUUUACUGUGUAGCGGUGAAAUGCGUGGAUAUAGGAAGGAACACCAGUGGCGAAGGCGACCACCUGGGCUCAUACUGACACUGAGGUGCGAAAGCGUGGGGAGCAAACAGG